GGAGCAGCCUGGUAGCUCGUCGGGCUCAUAACCCGAAGGUCGUCGGUUCAAAUCCGGCCCCCGCAACCA
rnacentral:tRNA from 6 species